CAUGAUUUACAUUUGAGUGAGUGGCGAACUGGUGAGUAACACGUGGGAAACCUGCCCAGAAGCGGGGGAUAACACCUGGAAACAGAUGCUAAUACCGCAUAACAACUUGGACCGCAUGGUCCGAGUUUGAAAGAUGGCUUCGGCUAUCACUUUUGGAUGGUCCCGCGGCGUAUUAGCUAGAUGGUGGGGUAACGGCUCACCAUGGCAAUGAUACGUAGCCGACCUGAGAGGGUAAUCGGCCACAUUGGGACUGAGACACGGCCCAAACUCCUACGGGAGGCAGCAGUAGGGAAUCUUCCACAAUGGACGAAAGUCUGAUGGAGCAACGCCGCGUGAGUGAAGAAGGGUUUCGGCUCGUAAAACUCUGUUGUUAAAGAAGAACAUAUCUGAGAGUAACUGUUCAGGUAUUGACGGUAUUUAACCAGAAAGCCACGGCUAACUACGUGCCAGCAGCCGCGGUAAUACGUAGGUGGCAAGCGUUGUCCGGAUUUAUUGGGCGUAAAGCGAGCGCAGGCGGUUUUUUAAGUCUGAUGUGAAAGCCUUCGGCUCAACCGAAGAAGUGCAUCGGAAACUGGGAAACUUGAGUGCAGAAGAGGACAGUGGAACUCCAUGUGUAGCGGUGAAAUGCGUAGAUAUAUGGAAGAACACCAGUGGCGAAGGCGGCUGUCUGGUCUGUAACUGACGCUGAGGCUCGAAAGUAUGGGUAGCAAACAGGAUUAGAUACCCUGGUAGUCCAUACCGUAAACGAUGAAUGCUAAGUGUUGGAGGGUUUCCGCCCUUCAGUGCUGCAGCUAACGCAUUAAGCAUUCCGCCUGGGGAGUACGGCCGCAAGGCUGAAACUCAAAGGAAUUGACGGGGGCCCGCACAAGCGGUGGAGCAUGUGGUUUAAUUCGAAGCUACGCGAAGAACCUUACCAGGUCUUGACAUACUAUGCAAAUCUAAGAGAUUAGACGUUCCCUUCGGGGACAUGGAUACAGGUGGUGCAUGGUUGUCGUCAGCUCGUGUCGUGAGAUGUUGGGUUAAGUCCCGCAACGAGCGCAACCCUUAUUAUCAGUUGCCAGCAUUAAGUUGGGCACUCUGGUGAGACUGCCGGUGACAAACCGGAGGAAGGUGGGGAUGACGUCAAAUCAUCAUGCCCCUUAUGACCUGGGCUACACACGUGCUACAAUGGAUGGUACAACGAGUUGCGAACUCGCGAGAGUAAGCUAAUCUCUUAAAGCCAUUCUCAGUUCGGAUUGUAGGCUGCAACUCGCCUACAUGAAGUCGGAAUCGCUAGUAAUCGCGGAUCAGCAUGCCGCGGUGAAUACGUUCCCGGGCCUUGUACACACCGCCCGUCACACCAUGAGAGUUUGUAACA
rnacentral:rRNA from 2 species